GGUUACUCCAGUGUGAAGCGGCUUCCAGGCAUCCAUUUCCUUAAGACUACACAAAGAAUCCAUUACUGGAAAACAUCCAAAUCUGCCAGAUAAUUGCCUCGAUCCAUGUUCUCUUCACCUUGGAGGCAAACGUGGGACAAUAUUUUUAAUCCCAGUGCAUCUGCCUGUUCCUAGGCUAGCAUCUGGUUACAGCUGCUUUUUUUUUUUUCAUCUGGAGGGACCUCUUUGGUGCAAACCGAGCCGAACCUGCAGUAUGGCUGCCAUGGCAAGCAAGCUCCGGGCUAGGGACUUCUUUGGUGCAAACUGAGCGGAUCCUGCAGUAUGGCUGCCAUGGCAAGCAAGCUCCGGGCUAGGGUGAACAGAGUGAGAAAGGCUUCCACUAUGAUCUCUGGUUGUGUCUACAUCUUAGAGUUCCAGUGAAGGGCGGGGGAGAGGUCCUUGCUUUGUUGGCAUUCUUGGAGCAACACUGCCAUCAAGCGGAAUUGCUUUCCUGUUCCUGCCAACACCUCAGGAUGCUGUUUCUUAGUAUGAGGAUCCUCGGAGAUUCUGGUACCAAGACUGAAAUAAAGGGGCUCCAGCUGGCUUGCCAGUCCUGGGAGCGCUGUACCUGUUGGCCAAGGGUUCCCCAUUAAAGCCAGGCCUUCCACAGGAUCCAGGACUAUGGGGAAUAUCUACAAUGAUAGCAUGCAGGUGAGGCAUCUUUGUUGGACUAGCCCAGUGAUAGAUAACAGCCAGAAUCAGAAGGCAGUAUCCUUCCUUAGGGUGAAUCUGAGUAGAGAGAGCCACAGUCAAGCAAGGAAGGAAGACAUCAGAAGAAAGGUACCAUGUUGCCAGCUUUGACUAGCAGUGCCUCCCUAUGUGAGCCCUCUAGCUCCAAAACAGACCCACAAGCAGGAUUCUCUGUAACAGGUCACCUUGCUCAAGACUCUCUUUUGAAUAUGCAGGGCCAAGGUCAAGAUUGGCUGGCCUUUAUUGAACCACGAGGCUAUCGUUCUCUCUCUCUCUCUCUCUCUCUCUCUCUCUCUCUCUCUCUCUCUCUCUCUGUGUGUGUGUGUGUGUGUGUGUGUGUGUGUGUGUGUUUGUGUGUCACCUGCAUUGGAAGCAAGGCCAGAGAGGGUGCAGACAGAAGUCAUGGCAGAGUAUACUGCCUAUAUAGUAGAUACGACAGACAGCCAAAUUCAAAGAAUGAAAGAAUGAAUGGCUCUUGGACAGUACCCUCAGCAGAAGAUAGGUGGGUGUAUCUCCCAGGGAGUGCAGGGAACACAGAGAAGUGGCAUCUAUGCCUGUUAGUGGGUAAGUAUCUAUGCUUGUGGGAUGCUGGCCUGGACCUUGGCUGGAAAGUAUGUAGAAGGUAGCAGGACCAGUACACAGGAGUGGGUGGCCUGAAGCCAAUAAGAAGUCAGAGCAGCAUGUCACAUGGGAGCUCAAUGCCAUCCUCAUCCUUGGAAGGGCUUUCUCAGCUUGAGGUUGCUAGAGAUGAAGCGUUUGAAGGCAUUGACAGGGCUUCUUGGUGAGAAAGGGG
rnacentral:lncRNA from 1 species